CUGAACAUGAAGGUAAGUUUUAAGUAAAGGCUUUUUGAACUUUAUUCAUGAAGAGCUCUGAUGAGAAAGCAGAAGAGUUCAAGAC
rnacentral:misc_RNA from 1 species